AUAUUUCAGAACUGAGUCCAGUUCCUUCGAUAUCAGUGCAAUCUAAUAAUAUCGAAGGAACUAGACUCAGUUCCGAAAUAU